GAUGAACGCUGGCGGCGUGCCUAAUACAUGCAAGUCGAGCGAACAGACGAGGAGCUUGCUCCUCUGACGUUAGCGGCGGACGGGUGAGUAACACGUGGAUAACCUACCUAUAAGACUGGGAUAACUUCGGGAAACCGGAGCUAAUACCGGAUAAUAUAUUGAACCGCAUGGUUCAAUAGUGAAAGACGGUUUUGCUGUCACUUAUAGAUGGAUCCGCGCCGCAUUAGCUAGUUGGUAAGGUAACGGCUUACCAAGGCAACGAUGCGUAGCCGACCUGAGAGGGUGAUCGGCCACACUGGAACGGAGACACGGUCCAGACUCCUACGGGAGGCAGCAGUAGGGAAUCUUCCGCAAUGGGCGAAAGCCUGACGGGGCAACGCCGCGUGAGUGAUGAAGGUCUUCGGAUCGUAAAACUCUGUUAUUAGGGAAGAACAAAUGUGUAAGUAACUAUGCACGUCUUGACGGUACCUAAUCAGAAAGCCACGGCUAACUACGUG
rnacentral:rRNA from 1 species